AUAUCCUAUCGCUUUACCUUGAAAACAGUCAAAAUCUAAUCGAAGUGCGCAAAAUUUCCGAGUUGGGCGUCUUCAGCGCCGUACUGUCGCUUCCGUAGAUAUGAUUUUACAAAAGUCUGACGUUUGAUCCUCUUGAUUCCUUCUUCCCUGCCGGAUCAGCUCUUUCGCGUGCACCCUAUUUCAUCUUCACCGUGUGAUUCAACUUCCGCCUAGCUGCUCCUGCAUUUCUCCUGUGCGGCUGGUCAGCUUUGGCGACAGGUCUCUACGACAGGAUUACCGACUUUCCAGAUUCCUAGGAAGGUACCAAGCCUUCAGUCAUCGCAGCUUUGAAGUUUGGCGCAGACAGGGAAAGACGGCGUCAACCUACAUUCAAAGCUUCAGCUGUUGCAAAUCGCACCCGUACUCUCAGUCAACAUGGUCCAUUCU